rnacentral:rRNA from 1 species
GAUGAACGCUGGCGGCGUGCCUAAUACAUGCAAGUCGAGCGAACGGACGAGAAGCUUGCUUCUCUGAUGUUAGCGGCGGACGGGUGAGUAACACGUGGAUAACCUACCUAUAAGACUGGGAUAACUUCGGGAAACCGGAGCUAAUACCGGAUAAUAUUUUGAACCGCAUGGUUCAAAAGUGAAAGACGGUCUUGCUGUCACUUAUAGAUGGAUCCGCGCUGCAUUAGCUAGUUGGUAAGGUAACGGCUUACCAAGGCAACGAUGCAUAGCCGACCUGAGAGGGUGAGCGGCCACACUGGAACUGAGACACGGUCCAGACUCCUACGGGAGGCAGCAGUAGGGAAUCGUCCGCAAUGGGCGAAAGCCUGACGGGGCAACGGCGCGUGAGUGAUGAAGGUCUUCGGAUCGUAAAACUCUGUUAUUAGGGAAGAACAUAUGUGUAAGUAACUGUGCACAUCUUGACGGUACCUAAUCAGAAAGCCACGGCUAACUACGUG